GUAUCGGAUAGCUUAACUGGUGGAGCCUUUGGCGCGUAACCAAACGAUCCGGGUUCGAGUCCCGGUCUGGGCU
rnacentral:tRNA from 1 species